rnacentral:lncRNA from 1 species
CUUUCUUUCUCUUUCUCUGUUUCUUUCAGGGUCUCAUGGGUCUCUGUCACCCAGGCUGGAGUGCAGUGGCACGAUCUCCACCUCUUGGGUUCAAGCAAUUCUCCUGCCUCAGCCUCCCAAGUUGCUGGGACUACAGGUGUAUGCCACCAUGCCAGGCUAAUUUUUGUAUUUUUAGUAGAGAUGGGGUUUCACCAUGUUGGCCAGCUAGUCUUGAACUCCUGGCCUCAAGCGAUCCACCCGUCUCAGCCUCCCAAAGUGCUGAGAUUACAGGUGUGAGCCACCGCGCCUGGACUAAUGUUGGAACAUUUCAUUUUGUACUGGACCCUGCAAGCUAUGUAGACAGUCCUGCCUUCACUUCUUCACUUUCCACCACGUCCUGAUGAGAAGGGAUGCAGAAGCCACCAAGCUUUUUGACCGUGAGGUGUCCAUCCAGGGCAGAGACUUGAUCUUUGGGUACAGUUCUUAGCAUAAGAUUCCAAGGACCAGAAAACCCCACAAGCAGCAAGGCAGCAUGGUAUGCUGGACAAAGCAUGGAUCAGAGGGCCGGAAAGCCUGGGUUCAGAUGUCUGAUGGUGCCCCUUCACUGUGUGGUCUUGGGAAAUUUCCCUCCCCUUUCUGAGUAUCUUUUUCCUCAUCUGUGAAAGGAACUGUCCCGGUCUUCACAGAGCCGCUGAUAGCUUAAGCGAGUCCUGUGUGUAACGUGCAGGCUUGAGUGAGCUAUCCCUCCUUCUUGUGCCUCAGUCUUCUCUAUUGCACAAAGAGGGAGCUGGAGGAGAUGGUUCUGGACGGCCAAUUCCUUCCAG